rnacentral:rRNA from 1 species
AUCUACGGCGAUAGCACUUUGAAGUCGUUGAGUGCGCCAGUUCUUGAUGGAUCACUGAAGUUAAGCAAUGUUGAGCGUGGUUAGUGUUCGGAUGAGUGGCCAUCUGGACAAUCGUGAGCUUCUGACU